AUCCAGCUGACGAGUACCAAAUAGAACAAAACACGCGUUCUGUAU
rfam:Schistosoma margrebowiei strain Zambia genome assembly, scaffold: SMRZ_scaffold0003046